rnacentral:lncRNA from 1 species
AUGAAUAUUCCUUCCAUCUCUAUUGUCAGCGUGCCAGAAGAACAGGAUGAUACAACUUGUAACCAAGAAGAACACGGUACUGCUGAUAAAACUCUCAGCCAGCCAUUGGUGCUUGUAAGCGAGGUGACCGACAUGUGUGCCGACAGUACUGCAAACCCAGAUGAAAAAAGCUCUACCUCCAGUAAAGAUGAUAAAAUUAUUGCUGAGAGUCUGUUUGAAAAUGCUAACCCAACAUCUUCUGGAGAAUUAAUGGAUCUAGAAAAUCAGCAUUUAAAUGAUAUAAAUGAACACGAUCUAUCAUCAAAUGAACACAUGCAAGGUCAGAUUGAUAUAAGUGAAGAUGGCGACAAAUGCGAGCCUCCUCUUGAUGAUUCUCAGGGAGAAACUAACUUUUCUACAGAGGCUGAAACUCAUAUAGUGGAUACUGAGCGUGCUGUAAAUUCUACUGAUCCACCUGAUGGACACGAGAGCAAAUUAGCUGACACCUUUUGUAGCAGCGACAUAGCCAACACGCAGCUCAGUACACUGGAUCCAUUCAACACCGAGCCAAGUGAUGAGAUAGGGACGCUGCGCUCUGAACCAGCUACCGUGUCCAGAAACAUGGACCUUUUGUUUUAUACAGACUUUGAUCGAGGUUCUCCAACAGAGGAUCUGGUUGGUGACCCUGUGGAGCCCAUGGAUCUGUUCUACCCUGACAAAGAAGAGCUCAUGUUUACAGAGCAACCUGACACUGAAGCGCAGACCUGGCCCUCUGUUUUGAGUGUCUCUGCUCUGCAGCCAGCACCACCUUCAGACAUUCUGCCAGAUGACCAACAAUUCGAUCCGCUGGGUGAAGACUUCAGGGAAGUGGACUUGAUACAGGAGCACGAUAAGGUGAUCACAAAGGCCACCCAAGAGACAAAGAAUGUAUUUGGAUCCCAGCAGCAUUGCUUGUUGCCUGGAGUGAAGCUAUGUAAGCCCUUAGGAGAUGCUGAUGUUCUAGCAGACAGGAGGGAUCCCAGUGAGGCUGAGCAACAGAAGCCAGUCUCUGCCAGGGAAAACACAGAGCCUGUGAGGAGCAGUGCAGGUUCCAGCAAACAAGGUGAAAGCCAUAUCCCACCAGUUCUCCGUCACAGAAAGGGGGCUCAUUGCCCUGAGUCAGUGGUGAGUUUGAUGCUCCUUUCCCUCCCACAGUGAUGUUAAAACAUUGAGUACCACUGUAUAUUGAGAGUGUGUGACUGGCAUUUUCACAGGACAGUCAGAGAGCUGUAACUGCAAAAGCUGACGGCGAUGACUCUGAUUUUUGGUAAGAGCAUUUCCUUCCCUGAUUUAGUUGUUUGUAACACUCGAGCCUUUAACUGUGAUGUAGGUUCACCAUGUUGCUAGGUUUAUAACAGUAGCUGCUGACUUGAGGUAACUUCUAAUUAUGUUAUUGUGAGCAAACAGCACUUAAGUUAGAUUAAUACGUGGCACAGGAAGGACGGACGUCUUCAUUUCUCUGCAUCU